GGGCUUGUGGUACAGUGGUAGCACGUUCGCUUAGCAUCUUUCUAUCUUGGAUCGUUGCGAAAGGUCCUGGGUUCAAUUCCCAGCAAGUCCA
rnacentral:tRNA from 2 species